UUCAGCGGAUGAGCUAGUUUGCUCUCAAGUACAGCUUCUUCCUUUCCAUCUCCAUGUAAACUUUUAAAAUCUCUUAUUUCUUGUUUUUCUUUCUUCUGUGUGUACCGCAGGGGCUCGAGACAUGCUAUUUACCAUUGCUAGUGCAGACCCAGGAGCCCAGGCACAAGACUGAUCACUCGCCAAAGGGCUGCUGAAUCAGAAGUUCCAUCAACUGGGUGGCUUAUCAACAACAGAAAUUUAUUUCUCACAGUCUUGGAGGCUACAUAAUCCAAGAUUAAGGUGCUGGCAGAUUCAGUGUCAGUUGCAAUUUCAAAAGACAAUUCACACACCUUCACAGUGGUAUGACACGGCACUGCUCAAUCAGAAUGAGGCCUAUCCAAUUCAUCCAAGGCCUGUGUCCCAGCGGAUGUCAGCCCGAAGCCCUGUCCACGGUGAACUGAAUGGUGCAUAGCGCCUGCUUUCUCUGAGCUACGUGCA